UCGGGGUUAGUGGCGGACGGGUGAGUAACACGUGGGAACGUGCCUUUAGGUUCGGAAUAGCUCCUGGAAACGGGUGGUAAUGCCGAAUGUGCCCUUCGGGGGAAAGAUUUAUCGCCUUUAGAGCGGCCCGCGUCUGAUUAGCUAGUUGGUGAGGUAACGGCUCACCAAGGCGACGAUCAGUAGCUGGUCUGAGAGGAUGACCAGCCACACUGGGACUGAGACACGGCCCAGACUCCUACGGGAGGCAGCAGUGGGGAAUCUUGCGCAAUGGGCGAAAGCCUGACGCAGCCAUGCCGCGUGAAUGAUGAAGGUCUUAGGAUUGUAAAAUUCUUUCACCGGGGACGAUAAUGACGGUACCCGGAGAAGAAGCCCCGGCUAACUUCGUGCCAGCAGCCGCGGUAAUACGAAGGGGGCUAGCGUUGCUCGGAAUUACUGGGCGUAAAGGGCGCGUAGGCGGAUCGUUAAGUCAGAGGUGAAAUCCCAGGGCUCAACCCUGGAACUGCCUUUGAUACUGGCGAUCUUGAGUAUGAGAGAGGUAUGUGGAACUCCGAGUGUAGAGGUG
rnacentral:rRNA from 1 species